UUAUAUGCAAAAAAUCACUGAGAAUAAGUAGGUAUUGUAAUUAUAACCAAAAUACCCCAAACUCUGAUCAAUAUCAGAGAGGUCGACUAAGUUCUGUAAACAAAACACUAGACUAAGACUAAGAUCGCAGGAGGUAUAACAAUUCAUUUGCCAGUUUCCAGUCUAUGAGUCUUAUUAUACCAGACAUAAAAGUAAGCAUAGGAGAUUUCUUUCACCAGACCUGAGCCUUGGACGAAUGUAUUCUCUUUAUAAAGAUGUUACACUUGAACCAAUUUCAUCAUUUAUGUUCAGCAAAAUUUUUAAUGACAGUUUAAGAUUCCAUGCACCCAUUAGUGAUUCUUGCAAAAAAUGUGAUCUCUUCAACAACAAAAUUAAAUCUUCUGAGAGUGAACAGCUAAAACAAGAGUUGCAAUGGUAACACGAAUCACACCAGAGGAAGACAGUGCCAGACAGGGAUUAAAAGACAAUACGGCUUUGGCAAAAUCAUCAACUGACAUCACUGUAAUCACCUUUGACUUAAUGAAAACCCUACCUACUCCCAUGUUGAGCACUGGAGUCAUGUAUUACAAAAGACAGCUUUGGCCUUUUUGCUUUGGGGUUCACAACAUGGGGACAGAUGAUGCCUACAUGUUUGUUUGGGACGAGUCAGAUGCCUCAAGAGGAUCCCAAGAAAUUCGAUCUUGCUUGCUGUACUUUUUUAAAAAUUUCGUGACUACUAAAAAGUAAUCAUGUAUUCUGACCAAUGCGGAUGACAGAAUAGAAACAAAGUAAUUGUUGUACAGUCAGUAUGUGGUAUCUCAUCCGGGCUUUACUAUUGAAGAAAUAGAUCAUAAAUUCAGUGGGCAUUCAUACUUACCAUACGACCAAGGUUUUGGCCUAAUAGAGAAGAAUAGAAAAUUAUUCAAAGAAAUAUACAUUCCAGAGAACUCAAAGUAAUUAAAACGGCUUGCAAAAACAACCAUUUAAAAUAAUAAGAAUGACAGGAAUGGAUUUUUUUUCCUCUAAAUCAUUGGAAAAAAAUAUAACAAACGGAAUAAUUUUGCUUAAUAUUAACAAGAUAGAAUGGUUGAAAAUUCAGUGGUUGAAAUUCCAUAAACUUCAUCAAUUUUAAUUUUUCUACAAGUAUUCUAAUAAUGAAGAAGUCCUCUUACAUGAAUUCAGACCGCCAGUUCAGCACACUUUCUAUAACAAUCUAAAUAGUUCAAUCAGUGUCAGGGAUGUAGUGUAUUGUGAUGAGACAGAUGAAGAAUAACCUUUGUUGUGCUAUUUUGAUUGUGUUCUUAUUAAAUUUGUCUUUAUUUGGUGUAA